AAAGAAUACAAAAAUACAAUUUCAACAAUCAUCCAGGACAGAAUUCCAAAGACAAAGAACACAUAAAGACUAUGCUACAGAAAAUCUAUGAUGAAUCUUUUUGUCAAAGAACCAUUCUGUCAAAUAUUUUCUAAAAAUAUUUUUGGCUUAGGUAUGCAUACAUAUAGGUGUCUGUAGUACCACUUUCUGUAACUUUUUUUAAAGUUUAGUUUCAGUUCAGUUCAGUCGCUCAGUCGUGUCUGGUUCUUUGCGACCCCAUGAACCGCAGCAGGCCAGGCCUCCCUGUCCAUCACCAACUCCCAGAGUUUACCCAAACCCAUGUCCAUCGAGUCGGUGAUGCCAUCCAACCAUCUCAUCCUCUGUCGUCCCCUUCUCCUCCUGCCUCCAGUCCCCUCCCAGCAUCAGGGUCUUUUCCAAUGAGUCAGCUCUUCGCAUGAGGUGGCUAAAGUACUGGAGUUUCAGCUUCAACAUCAGUCCUUCCAAUGAACACCCAGGACUGAUCUCCUUUAGGAUGGACAGGUUGGAUCUCCUUGCAGUCCAAGGGACUCUCAAGAGUCUUCUCCAACACCGCAGUUAAAAAGCAUCAAUUCUCCAGCACUCAGCUUUCUUUAUAGUCCAACUCUCACAUCCAUACAUGACCACUGGAAAAACCAUAGCCUUGACUAGACGGACCUUUGUUGGCAAAGUAAUGUCUCUGCUUUUUCAUAUGCUGUCUAGGUUGGUCAUAACUUUCCUUCCAAGGAGUAAGCGUCUUUUAAUUUCAUUGCUGCAAUCACCAUCUGCAGUGAUUUUGGAGCCCGGAAAAAUAAAGUCAGCCACUGUUUCCCCAUCUAUUUGCCAUGAAGUGAUGGGACCGGAUGCCAUGAUCUUAGUUUUUUGAAUGUUGAGCUUUAAGCCAACUAAAAAUCUAUUGAGCUCAAAUUUCCAUAUGUUACUUUUUUUGAGUAGGAUACACUUGCACAGAUUCCUUUUGGAGACCCAAUUUGACUCAUCAUCUUAAAACUCAAUGACCUAUUACAAAAUGAUAACAAUCAGUGACUUUUAAAAUAUUAAAACCUAUGUUCUGGCCUUAAUUAGUCAUUUGUGUCCCAAACACUCAGACACAGAUAUUUUGACCUGCUUGACUCAAAGCCACACUGAAUAGCUGAAUCCACAUGCUACUUCCUUUCGACAAUAUGAUUUUCUACAAAAUUCAUGAGAAAUAAAAGAUGGGUAAGAACAACAAAUCCUAUUUUGAGGACAAACUUAGAAGAGCAAAGGGACCACAGUGAUCAGAGCCUAAUGCAAAGUCUCUGACCCUCAGGCACUCAGUAAACCUGGCUGCUACAUUGAAGAGUCUGCCCAAGGUCAGAGCUGAGGUUCCUAACUGAAAUCUAAUGUUAGCUCACACAGACAGAAAAUAAGUGGCUACAAGAACACAGAGCUAACAUCCAGUUAUUUAUGUUAAUGCUAAGAGAUAAGAAAGAAAAUCAAAAGUAUCAAUUAGAUACACCUCAUUCAAAAGUCACCCUCAAAGAGCUUUCUUUUCUAGUUUAUAACUUUCCCAGAGGCAAGAGCAUCCUUGUACAGUUCCCAAAGUUUCAACUUAUAUCUUAAAAUGAGCAUAAUUCUUUUAAAAUUUUUCUUGAUAAAUUUUCAUUAGUAGUAUGUCACAAAAGUACUGAGAAAAUUACAUAUAUUUGAUGUUAAAAAUUAUAAUCACUUUCAGUUCAUCUGGAGAAAACUUUUAUUAUUUUAAAUUCUACUAAUUAAGAAAAUACAGUACAUAUGAUCUCCUGGGCUGAGGCUCACCUCUAAAAUAUAUGUUUUAAAGCAAGGGGAGGGGAUUGUCUAUUAUUGAACUUUAAGUCUCAGAACAGCACCAUUCUAGCAUGAGUUUUUUUAUCAAACAAUGAGCUAUUUAUAAACAGCCAAUACACUUAAAAGAGUCUCUGAAGCAUAACUUUCCUUAAAAGCAGAGUUGGCAAACAUACCUAAAAAUAAAAUCACAUUACUUUACAAAUGUUUUGCAGCAAUGAAAACAUGUACCACAACUCAGACCUUAGUUUCUAAAUAUACCAUUUUCCAUUCAAAGGCAGCAGGGUUCCUCUGUAAAAUGGCUGAUUCCAGGGUUGGGGCAGAAAAAGUACAAGAUGAAUCCAGCAUAUCCUGCUAUUCCUCAUCAAAGACUGAUGAGAACACAGAGGCCAGCUUGAAGGAACCCACACUGGCCAAAUCUCGAGUGAUGAUACUAAAGGAUUUUAACUCAUUGAAUCAGGGAAACCCAGAUCCUAACAGUGGUGAGCAGCGUGGGGAAAGAAGCCUGAAGCAGUUGAGGUUAGGAAGCAAGACUGAAGCAAUUACAAAAAGCUGGGUUCUAAUCUCACUGACUGACUUACUAUGGAAUGGAAAAAACAUCAAUAAAGAGCUGACUUUGAAAGUGCUCUAUGGAUAAACAAACAAAUCUAACUAAAUAAAACAUAAAACCUCUACACGGAAGAAGUAAUUGCAGAUCUGCAUUUACUGAUGUGGGAAAAUCUCUAAAAUAUAUUAGUAAGUAGAAGAUGUAAGUCUCAGAAGAUUAUAUACAAUAUAAACAAAUGUAUGUAAAUAAAAAUAAUCAGGCACAUUUCUAUAUGCAGAGAAAAAUUCUGAUGGAUAUAUAGGAAAUACACAGGAUUGACUACCUAACGGAAUGGAAAUAAAGACACCAAAAGAUUUCUUUUUAAUGAUGAAGAAAACCUAACUUAAAUAACAGUUGACCUUUUCAGAGUAAUGUGAAAGUACUUAAUAUUGCUGAACUACAGGAAGGGAAUCAAGAUGAUGGAGGAGGAGGAAGUGGAGCUCCUCACCCCCAACAAACACAUAACACGGAACAAUUCUCACAGAAAACUAACUGGAAACUGGCAGAUCUCCCGUACACCCAAAGCUGCCCGGAGAUCUCCCUGUCACCAGGGAGAAGGCAUCAGGUCCAGUACCUGUGCCACUGGGAGGGAUCUGUGAGGAACAGAAGGUCCAGAGGGAGUGGAUCAACCCACAAUUUGGGCACUCCCAUGCCAGUCCUGGGGUCCUACAUGCGCAGUCAAGCCCUCUAGCCUGCUGGGAAAUCUGCCAAGACAGACAGAAUAAUGGAAAUCACCCAAUCAAAACAGCAGACAGAAAGACAAAUGAAAAAAAUGAAAGCAACAUUAUGAGGUCUAUGGGAUGAUCAUAAAGUGUUCCAACUUGUGCAUAACAGGGAUUCUGAAUCCUAACAGAUUCAGGGAUUCUGCAAACAGAGAGGGAGAAGGAAAUCAAAAAACAUUAUUUCAAGAAAUUAUGACUGAAAACUUCCUAAACCCAAAGAAUGAAACAGAUAUCAAGGUACAGGAAGCAUAGAGAGAGGGUCCUAAACAA